GUUAUCCUGGGGUGUUCGCAACGCCUGUGCUUUUACCCACAGAUUCAAAAAAGGAUUCCGGGUCGGUUUGCGGAUGUCAUGCCCCCGAUUUUGCCAGGGGAAGGCAGAAUGCAGCCGCAGGUUUCCGCCCUGCCUGAGCGGCGGGUGAAAAAGUAACGGCGAACGGCACACUUGGGAUAAUG
rnacentral:other from 1 species